UACGUAGGGUGCAAGCGUUGUCCGGAAUUAUUGGGCGUAAAGAGCUCGUAGGCGGUUUGUCGCGUCGGCUGUGAAAACUCGGGGGCUCAACCCCGAGCCUGCAGUCGAUACGGGCAAACUAGAGUGUGGUAGGGGAGACUGGAAUUCCUGGUGUAGCGGUGAAAUGCGCAGAUAUCAGGAGGAACACCGGCGGCGAAGGCGGGUCUCUGGGCCAUAACUGACGCUGAGGAGCGAAAGCGUGGGGGAGCGAACAGG
rnacentral:rRNA from 1 species